rnacentral:lncRNA from 1 species
AUGACGUCACCCAAUGGCGUCACCCAAUGAUGUCACCCCUUGUGUCACCCAAUGGCGUCACCCAUUGUGUCACCCAAUGGUGUCACCCAAUGGCGUCACCCCAUGUCAUCACCCAUUGGCGUCACCCAAUGAAGUCAUCCAGAGGUGUCACCCAAUGGUGUCACCCAAUGAUGUCACCCAAUGGCGUCACCCAAUGGUGUCACCCCAUGUCAUCACCCAAUGGCGUCACCCAAUGACGUAACCCAAAGGCGUCACCCAAUGAUGUCACCCAAUGGUGUCACCCAAUGACGUCACCCCUUGUGUCACCCAAUGGCAUCACCCAAUGAAGUCACCCAGAGGUGUCACCCAAUGACGUCACCCAUUGUGUCACCCAAUGUUGUCACCCGUUGUGUCACCCAAUGGUGUCACCCAGAGGUGUCACCCAAUGGUGUCACCUAUUGUGUCACCCAAUGGCGUCACCCAAUGGUGUCACCCAAUGACGUCACCCAUUGUGUCACCCAAUUGUGUCACCCAAUGAAGUCACCCAGAGGUGUCACCCAAUGACGUCACCCAUUGUGUCACCCAUUGUGUCACCCAAUGACGUCACCCGUUGUCACCCCGCAGUCUCUGCGCGCGCCGUUACAGCCGUCUGCACAACCGCGUGCUGCGCCCAGCGCGGGACGGUGACGAUGACGGUGACAAUGGUGGUGACCACGGUGACAAUGGUGGUGACCACGGUGACCACGGUGACAAUGGUGACAAUGGCGCCGCUGCCACCCCUGCUCCCCUCCCUCUGCUGUUGGCCGGGGGGGGCUGGCAGCGCCAUGAUGGCAGCGCUGGCACCACCAACCCCGUCAGCCACCUCAGCCUUGUCCCCUUCUUGUCCCCAUAUCCCAGUGUCCCCAUGUCCCC